rnacentral:rRNA from 1 species
AGAGUUUGAUCCUGGCUCAGAACGAACGCUGGCGGCGCGUCUUAAGCAUGCAAGUCGAACGGUAGCAGUAGCAAUACUGUGAGAGUGGCGAACGGGUGAGUAACACGUAGGUGAUCUACCCGGAGGUUGGGGAUAGCCCGUGGAAACACGGAUUAAUACCGAAUACGGUCGGCGGGUUUUGGCCUGCCGAAGAAAGGAGCCCUUAAAGCUCCGCCUCUGCGAUGAGCCUGCGGCUGAUUAGCUAGUUGGUGAGGUAACGGCCCACCAAGGCGAUGAUCAGUAGCCGGCCUGAGAGGGUGUACGGCCACACUGGAACUGAGACACGGUCCAGACUCCUACGGGAGGCAGCAGCUAAGAAUCUUCCGCAAUGGACGAAAGUCUGACGGAGCGACGCCGCGUGGACGAUGAAGGCCGAAAGGUUGUAAAGUCCUUUUCCUGGGGAAGAAUAACCAGAGGAGGAAAUGCCUUUGGGAUGACGUUAACCAGGGAAUAAGCCCCGGCUAAUUACGUGCCAGCAGCCGCGGUAACACGUAAGGGGCGAGCGUUGUUCGGAAUUAUUGGGCGUAAAGGGCGUGCAGGCGGUCGUGCAAGUCUGGUGUGAAAGGUUGGGGCUUAACCCCAAACGCGCGCUGGAAACUGCAGGACUUUUGGAGUCCCGGAGAGGAAGCUAGAAUUCCAGGUGUAGGGGUGAAAUCUGUAGAUAUCUGGAAGAAUACCGGUGGCGAAGGCGAGCUUCUGGCCGAGGACUGACGCUGAGGCGCGAAAGCGUGGGGAGCAAACAGGAUUAGAUACCCUGGUAGUCCACGCUGUAAACGAUGUACACUAGGUGUUGGGGAGUUAUCCCUGGUGCCGCAGCUAACGUGUUAAGUGUACCGCCUGGGGAGUAUGCUCGCAAGGGUGAAACUUAAAGGAAUUGACGG